rnacentral:rRNA from 1 species
AGAGUGAACGCUGGCGGUAGGCCUAACACACGCAAGUCGAGCGGCAGCACGGGUACUUGUACCUGGUGGCGAGCGGCGGACGGGUGAGUAAUGCCUAGGAAUCUGCCUGGUAGUGGGGGAUAACGCUCGGAAACGGACGCUAAUACCGCAUACGUCCUACGGGAGAAAGCAGGGGACCUUCGGGCCUUGCGCUAUCAGAUGAGCCUAGGUCGGAUUAGCUAGUUGGUGAGGUAAUGGCUCACCAAGGCGACGAUCCGUAGCUGGUCUGAGAGGACGACCAGCCACACUGGAACUGAGACACGGUCCAGACUCCUACGGGAGGCAGCAGUGGGGAAUUUGGACAAUGGGCGCAAGCCUGAUCCAGCAAUGCCGCGUGCAGGAUGAAGGCCUUC